rnacentral:rRNA from 1 species
UACGUAGGGUGCGAGCGUUAAUCGGAAUUACUGGGCGUAAAGCGUGCGUAGGCGGUUGGCAAAGUCAGCUGUGAAAGCCCCGGGCUUAACCUGGGAAUGGCAGUGGAAACUGGGGGACUUGAAUUGAGCAGAGGGGGGUGGAAUUCCGCGUGUAGCAGUGAAAUGCGUAGAGAUGCGGAGGAACACCGAUGGCGAAGGCAGCCCCCUGGGCCAACACUGACGCUCAGGCACGAAAGCGUGGGGAGCAAACAGG